GCCCAGUUGGUUAAGCAUAUGACUCUUGAUCUCAGCUCAGGUCUCGAUCUUAGGGUUGUGAGUUCAAGACCCACACUGGGCU
rnacentral:tRNA from 1 species